rfam:Larimichthys crocea isolate SSNF unplaced genomic scaffold scaffold690, whole genome shotgun sequence.
AAACACCGACUCUGUAAGUCGCUUUGGAUAAAAGCGUCUGCUAAAUGUAAUGUA